rnacentral:rRNA from 1 species
CCCUUAGAUGUUCUGGGCCGCACACGCGCUACAAUGACAAAGUCAACGAGUAGAUCCGUUACUGAUAAGUACCGGUAAUCUUUUCAGUCUUUGUCGUGAUGGGGAUAGACCCUUGUAAUUAUUGGUCUCCAACGAGGAAUUCCUAGUAAACGCAAGUCAUCAACUUGCAUUGAUUACGUCCCUGCCCUUUGUACACACCGCCCGUCGCACCUACCGAUUGAAUGGCCCGGUGAAGUCUUCGGACUGGCGCGCACCUCGGUGCCGCCGAGAAGUUGGCUAAACCUUACCAUUUAGAGGAAGGUGAAGUCGUAACA